rnacentral:misc_RNA from 1 species
CCAAUAGCGUAUAUUAAAGUUGUUGUGGUUAAAAAGCUCGUAGUUGAACCUUGGGCCUGGCUGGCCGGUCCGCCUCACCGCGUGUACUGGUCCGGCCGGGCCUUUCCCUCUGUGGAACCUCAUGCCCUUCACUGGGUGUGACGGGGAAGCAGGACUUUUACUGUGAAAAAAUUAGAGUGCUCCAAGCAGGCCUAUGCUCGAAUACAUUAGCAUGGAAUAAUAAAAUAGGACGUGCGGUUCUAUUUUGUUGGUUUCUAGGACCGCCGUAAUGAUUAAUAGGGACAGUCGGGGGCAUCAGUAUUCAAUUGUCAGAGGUGAAAUUCUUGGAUUUAUUGAAGACUAACUACUGCGAAAGCAUUUGCCAAGGAUGUUUUCAUUAAUCAAGAACGAAAGUUAGGGGAUCGAAGACGAUCAGAUACCGUCGUAGUCUUAACCAUAAACUAUGCCGACUAGGGAUCGGAUGAUGUUAAUUUUUUAAUGACUCAUUCGGCGCCUUACG